rnacentral:rRNA from 1 species
CAGUCGCCACGGGAAUACAGAGGGUGCGAGCGUUAAUCGGAUUUACUGGGCGUAAAGCGUGCGUAGGCGGCUUCUUAAGUCGGAUGUGAAAUCCCUGAGCUUAACUUAGGAAUUGCAUUCGAUACUGGGAAGCUAGAGUAUGGGAGAGGAUGGUAGAAUUCCAGGUGUAGAGGUGAAAUGCGUAGAGAUCUGGAGGAAUACCGAUGGCGAAGGCAGCCAUCUGGCCUAAUACUGACGCUGAGGUACGAAAGCAUGGGGAGCAAACAGGAUUAGAUACCCCUGUAGUCCCUGUCUCUUAUAC